GACGAACGCUGGCGGCAGGCUUAACACAUGCAAGUCGAGCGCAUCCUCCGGGGUGAUCGGCUGCCGGGUGGGUAACACGUGAGAACGUGCCCUCUUCUACGGAAUUGCCUCGGGAAACUGAGAGUAAUGCCGUAUACGCCCGCAAGGGGGCAGAUUCAUCGGAGGAGGAUCGGCCCGCGGGUGAUUGGGUAGUUGGUGGGGUAACGGCCUAGCAAGCCGGAGAUGCAUAGCUGGGUUGAGAGGAUGAUCCGCCACCCUGGGACAGGGACCAGGCCUAGACUCCUAGGGAAGGCAGCAGUGGGGAACGUUGGGCAAUGGGUGCGACACUAAUCCAGUCAGGCCGCGAGAUCGAUGAAGGCCUUAGGAUUGUAAAGAUCUUUCAGCUGGGAAGAUAAUGACGGUACCAGCAGAAGAAGCCCCGGCUAACUCCGUG
rnacentral:rRNA from 1 species